AUGCUCAAUGCAGCAGCACAUAUACUAAAAACUGGCAUAAUACAGAGAAGACUGGUGUGGCUCCUGCACAAGGAUGAAACACAAAUUCCUGAAGCAUUCCAUUAAAAA